UAGAAAGCCCUGUAGGACAAAGUAUUAGUGUUCGUUUAAUCUCCUCCAUUUCCUCUGCCUGAAAUAUCCAUUGUUCUCUCUCUCUGUACAUCCUGUUAUAGCAUGACCUAGCACAGAGUGGUAGAAGGAACCUUGGAUUAAAUCCCAGUAUAGUGGGAAGAGAGAAGGUUCUGGAGACAAACAGUCUAGGUUUGAGACCCAGCUCUACCACUUCCUGGCUGUGUCAACUUGGGCAUGUGGGAAGAUGACAUUCCUCAGUUCUUUGCGUAGGUGGGGCCAGUGACUGGGUCUGGCCAAUGGGCUGUGAGCAGAAGGAUAUGGGUCACUUCUGGAGUGAAGGACUUAAUUGCCAAGAUGAGAACCCCCUAGAGCUCUGUUCCGCACGUUAACUCAGGAGGCCCGGUGUUACAGAUGGUACACUGUGGUGGGGCCUCCGUCAGCUGGGUCUCUGCGCGUCUCCUGAGGACAGUUGCCCUGGAGAGUCACCUGCACCGGCAUGGACUUCAUCAUUGUUCACGACAGCCAAGACUUGGAAGCAACCUAUGUGCCCAUCAAGGGGCGAAUGGAUGAAGAAGAUGUGGUAUAUAUACACAAUGGAAUACUACUCAGCCAUAAGAAAUGAUGAAAUCCAGCCAUUUGUGACAACAUGGAUGGACGUUGAGGGUAUUAUGCUAAGUGAAAUAAGUCAGAGGGAGAAGGUCAAAUACUGUAUGACCUCACUCAUAAGUAGAAGAUAAAAAGAACAACAAACAAACACAUAGAGACAGAGAUUGGAUUGAUGGUUACCAGAGGGGAGGAGGAGAGGGAGGAGGGCGAAAGGGAUGAUUAGGCACAUGUGUGGGGUGAUGGAUUGUAAUUAGUCUUUGGGUGGUGAACAUGAUGUAAUCAAUGCAGAA